AAUAGUGUGAGCACCUGGAAAAUUUCACUCAGAAAAUUGUAACACAAAUCAAACUUUGCAGGUACAGAUAUUAAAGACAGUCUUUGAGAUACCAUGCAAACAACCAAUUGUUAUUAGAUAAUGACAUUUCCGGUUUUACCAGAAAGCAAGGUGAGGUCCUUCAGAUCAAGCCCCUGCCUGGAAAAGAAGGCCAGAAGACUAGUGAUGUUUGAAAACGGCGGAGGGAUGUUAGCUAAGGCUUCUGAUGUUCUCGAGAUUUUUCCAUCUCUGCGUCCCACUGGAACUCUCCAGUAAGGUCCUCCCUGUCAAAAUUAAAGUGUGUAUAUGUAUUAAAGUUGAACUAUUCCUCUUCAACUUGUGGAUUUUCUGAUAAUGAAGCGACUCUUUUUCAGGUAAAGGAAAGGUAGUCAGCUUCUAGGACUUACAAUCGACACGAUUGAAUCUCUAGCAACCAAAGCAAUAAUGUCAGCACAGGAAACAACACCAGGACAUUCUUGUUCCAAUAGAGUUUUUACUCUGUCAAUGAAAUCAUAGCCUCUUAC
rnacentral:lncRNA from 1 species